rnacentral:rRNA from 1 species
GACGAACGCUGGCGGCGUGCCUAAUACAUGCAAGUAGAACGCUGAAGGAGGAGCUUGCUUCUCUGGAUGAGUUGCGAACGGGUGAGUAACGCGUAGGUAACCUGCCUGGUAGCGGGGGAUAACUAUUGGAAACGAUAGCUAAUACCGCAUAAUAGCAGUUGUUGCAUGACAACUGUUUGAAAGGUGCAAUUGCACCACUACCAGAUGGACCUGCGUUGUAUUUGCUAGUUGGUGGGGUAACGGCUCACCACGGCGACGCUACAUAGCCGACCUGAGAGGGGGAUCGGCCACACUGGGACUGGGACACGGCCCAGACCCCUACGGGAGGCAGCAGUAGGGAAACUUCGGCAACGGACGGAAGUCUGACCGAGAACCGCCGCGUGAGUGAAGAAGGUUUUCGGAUCGUGAAGCUCAGUUGUAAGAGAAGAACGAGUGUGGGAGUGGAAAGUUCACACUGUGACGGUAUCUUACCAGAAAGAGACGGCUAACUACGUG